rnacentral:rRNA from 1 species
UACGUAGGGUGCGAGCGUUGUCCGGAAUUAUUGGGCGUAAAGGGCUCGUAGGCGGUUUGUUGCGUCGGGAGUGAAAACUCAGGGCUUAACCCUGAGCCUGCUUCCGAUACGGGCAGACUAGAGGUAUGCAGGGGAGAACGGAAUUCCUGGUGUAGCGGUGAAAUGCGCAGAUAUCAGGAGAACACCAAUAGCGAAGGCAGCUCGCUGGGACGUUACUGACACUGAGGCGCGAAAGCGUGGGGAGCGAACAGG